GGUUGACCUCGAAUCAGGUAGGACUACCCGCUGAACUUAAGCAUAUCAU
rnacentral:rRNA from 1 species